rnacentral:rRNA from 1 species
GGGUUCGAUUCCGGAGAGGGAGCCUGAGAAACGGCUACCACAUCCAAGGAAGGCAGCAGGCGCGCAAAUUACCCAAUCCCGACACGGGGAGGUAGUGACAAUAAAUAACAAUACGGGGCUCUUUCGGGUCUCGUAAUUGGAAUGAGUACAAUUUAAAUCCCUUAACGAGGAACAAUUGGAGGGCAAGUCUGGUGCCAGCAGCCGCGGUAAUUCCAGCUCCAAUAGCGUAUAUUAAAGUUGUUGCAGUUAAAAAGCUCGUAGUUGAAUUUCGGGAUUGACACAUCGGUCGUGCCUUAAGGGGUAUGAACUGGUGUAGUCAAUUUCUCACCUUCUGGAGAACCGCGAUGCCCUUAAUUGGGUGUCGCGGGGAACCAGGACCUUUACUUUGAAAAAAUUAGAGUGUUUAAAGCAGGCAUUUUGCUUGAAUACAUUAGCAUGGAAUAAUAAAAUAGGACGGCAUGAUUCUAUUUUGUUGGUUUCUAGGAUCACCGUAAUGAUUAAUAGGGAUAGUUGGGGGCAUUAGUAUUCAAUUGUCAGAGGUGAAAUUCUUGGAUUUAUUGAAGACUAACUACUGCGAAAGCAUUUGCCAAGGAUGUUUUCAUUAAUCAAGAACGAAAGUUAGGGGAUCGAAGACGAUCAGAUACCGUCGUAGUCUUAACCAUAAACUAUGCCGACUAGGAAUCAGACGAUGUUAAUUUUUUAAUGACUCGUUUGGCACCUUACGGGAAA